GUGAGGGAGGGGAUGACUAGUGACAGAGUGAGGGAGGGAAGUGGUGACUAGUGACAGAGGGAGGGGUGACUAGGGACAGAGUGAGGGAGGUUGUGACUAGUGACAGUCACCACCUCCCUCACUGUCACUAGUCACCCCCUCCCUCACUCUCUCACCAGUCAUCCCCUCACUCUGUCACUAGUCACCCCUUCCUUCCCUCACUCUGCCACUAGUCACCCCUUCCCUCAC